rnacentral:snoRNA from 1 species
GCAUGAAUGGAGUGUGGUGUCCCAUGCCAAAGCAAAUUGUAACCCCGAACCACUGCCUGGCUUUACCCCCAUGGACUUCAGGCACUGAAGCGGGUUACACAGUG